AAAUAAAUGUUUAGAAACCCCAAUAACAAACUGAUCUCUUGAGGGCAUUUCGCUGGAGCAAUGGCCGUGCUUUAAGCCCAGCGGGGAAUCUACAGGCCAGCGUCAUGGCAGCGAAGAUAACUUGUGGAAAUACUGGACUUGUGACCUUAGACACAGGCAUUGUAUUUCUCAUUUCCAGAAUCC